GACGAACGCUGGCGGCGUGCUUAACACAUGCAAGUCGAACGGAAAGGCCCUGCUUUUGUGGGGUGCUCGCGUGGCGAACGGGUGUGUAACCCAUGAGUAACCUGCCCUUGACUUUGGGAUAACUUCAGGAAACUGGGGCUACUACCUGCUAGGAGCUCCUGCUGCAUGGUGGGCGUUGGAACGUUUCGGCGGUUGGGGAUGGACUCGCGGCUUAUCAGCUGGUUGGUGGGGUAGUGGCUUACCCGGGCUUUGACGGGUAGCCGGCAUGAGAGGGUGAACGGGGACAAUGGGACUGAGAGACGGCGCAGACUCGUAUGGGAGGCAGAAGGGGAGAAUAUUGUACAAUGAGCGGAAGUCUGAGGAAGAAACGUCGCGUGCGGGAUGAACGCCAUCGGGGGGGAAAGCGCAGUAGGCUGUGACGAAGCGGGAGUGACGGUAAUGGGUAAAGAAGCACCGGCUAACUACGUG
rnacentral:rRNA from 1 species